rnacentral:misc_RNA from 1 species
UGUAGAAACACCAUUACCAUUCUUACUUGUAUCAUUGUCCUGAUCAGAUGACGGAGCAGUUGAAGCCUUUCUGAAUCCCAUAACCAAUUUUCCUUCUGGCUCUAAUCGACUAAAUGUUACUGUAUCUCCUGCUUGCAAUCGCAUAUUCUGUAUGCAAGGAGUUACCCCUUCCAGAACAUACAUUCUGCUAUUAUUGUUAGGCCAAAAGCGGAAUUGAAAUACCCAUUCUUUCCCUUUAGAAUCCUGGACCUUAAGUGGUAACCCUUCAGGAUGUGAGAUUGGCGGAAAAUAGGCCUCUGCACAUUUUUUUGGCAGCACCAAACGCCCAAUUCGGCCAGCAUCACUAGCGCUCAACAUUUUCUCAAACAAAGGGGUGAUUACAGAAUUUGAAUUUCCAGAGAUCUGCUGUAGCUCUUCAUCAGUAAACCUAGGCCAGUACCGAGGAAGUAACUGGCUUCUU